GGACAAAACUGCACCUCCUAAGUGGCAGUUCUCCAAGUCUACCUGUAGUCCGUGGACUGGCCAGGCUUACAGGGAAUGCAUCCCUGUAGACAGUGCUUGACGGGACAGAUGCAGACCAGGAAAGGCUUGCACAACACCUAGGGGGCUAGAGGGAGAGCAGCAGAGGUAAGGUAGGGUUAGAACUCAGUGACGGGUGCACGCCUUUGAUCCCAGCACCUGUGGGCAGAGCCAGGAGGAUCUCAGAAUUUGAGGCCAGUCUGGUCUACAGCCAGGCCUACAAAGAAACCAUGUCUCUCAAAAAAAAAAAAAAAAAAAAAAAANNNNNNNNNNNNNNNNNNNNNNNNNNNNUUUGACUUUAAAACAUAAACAAAACCAAAACAAUUUUAUUUGACAAAAGACAAAAACCAGUUAUUUACAGUAGUUUCUUGCUCAAAUAUUGUUCAAUGGGACAACCGUGCUUCUCCAGAUUUAUCUUACAGGCAACCUAAGCAGAGAGCGCUCUACCUUUCUGAUGCCCUGUUUUAUCCCAGGAGGGGGGAAUGCCAGAAUAUGUCAGCAGCAUGGCUCCCUCCCUCCUCCCUUGCUCAGUGCACUGUGGGGGGAAAAGAAAUCCCUCACCCUAGUAUCACCCCUGCCUUAGCAUCCUACAGCCAUCAUGGGGUCUCACAGACAGGUGGGGUAGCAGUGGGCAAACCACAAAGUCAAUGAAGCCGCCAUGUUCCCUUCCCAGCAGUGCCUCAGGGUGACAGAGAGUUGAGCCUGCUGGGUCUCCUACAGGAUAGGAAGCCAGAGGGAGGCACGAGGCAGAGCCCAGGGAAGCAGCCCCUUACAAAUAGCCAUUCUCUCGCCCACUUGCACAGCAAGGGAUGGGUGAAGUCACUCAGGAGAGGUAUGGAAGCCUGCUAAGCCUCAGGAGCUCCCUGGAAAGGCCAGAGUGGUCUCUGCCUUCCUCGGAACAGGCACUCCAAGCCAGUCAACAUCCAAGAGCCCCGUCUGUGCUCACACCCGGGUGAACNNNNNAGGAUAUAAAGAUGGGGUAUACUGUUGCUGAAAACUAAGCAAAGUAAACGGGAAAAGGGGAGAGAUUAAGACCAAGUGUGGUCUGUUUCCCCGGGAAAUUUAGGCAGGCCCUUGCAAUCCCACCCUGAAGGGAGGUGGGCCAGUCGGUAGCCUCAGCAGCCUCUCCUCCAGGAAGGUUCCAGCUGCCUCUGUGAACAAGCAGCUUUCCGAAGGGCCUAAUGACCAGCAGAUGGCUCACUCCUCCCAAGUAGAUGCUGGCACACGACAUUCUUGCCAAGCUCCAGAAUAAAUCCGAAACAAGCUACAAAGGUGGUGCAGGGUGGGGGUCGCUGGGGUGGGGUGAGGGGAGUUACUCAGAACAGAGAGAAAAACAGAGCUGUUUCACUCUAGCUUAACCACGACAAUAGAAACACGUGUGCCUCUGGUUUUGUCAUCUGUCUCUGCUGUGUCUAAAUGACCGUCUGGUGCAAAUAACCCACCACCUGUGGAUAUUUUCCUUCUGUCUUUUAUAAUAGGGAAGACCAAACCAAGAAUUAAACAACCACUCUAGUCUGAACUCAGCACCACUGCAGAGAAUCUGCUGGUCCCUAUACAACCAUCCUGUGGGAAGUAGAUUACCCACUUACCGAGCUCCACCCACCGUGUAAGGUGCUCUCUCCCCACACCUGUGCUUCUGGGCUACCUACUGCAUUAACACAAACCAC
ensembl:processed_transcript 5430405H02Rik RIKEN cDNA 5430405H02 gene